rnacentral:lncRNA from 1 species
UUGUCUCCGGAUCCGGUUGACCAUUCAUAGCAUACAAGCUAAUCCUUGAUACUUCGGUUGAUUGUAUGUUAUCCACGGUAUCUUUGAAUUCUUCCACAUCAUCAAAUUCUUCCUCAUUAACCUCGAUGAGCAUAUCUCCCUCGGUAGAUAAUCUGAAUAGACAUCCUUUACACUUAUGGCCACGAACCCAUUUUUCAUCGCAAUUGUAGCAAAGGUUCUUCUCUCUCCGAGCUUUCAUUUCUUCCGGUGCUAGUCUUGUUCUAAUCAUUGGAUUUUUGUUCGCUUCGCUAUCGGCAAUACGCUUAUGCGGAGGUACAUAAUUGCUCCUCUGUUUUUCCCAUAAUUUCAUUUGUUUGUUGUCGUGUUGAAUUUCUUCCUCAUCUUCACAAACAGUUGCUAAAACGAAAGCUUCCGAAAUGCCUUCCGGUCUUGCUUUCACCAAUUCCUUCCGAAUUUCAGGUUUCAAUACAGUGAUAUACAUCUGCCUUUUUGUCUCCUCCGAAACGCCUCUUACUUUAGUCGCUAGAGCUUCGAAUUUACUUUGAUAUCCCCUAACUGAACUUGUCUGUACCAGCCUGCCAAGAUGUCCAGUUGGUAAAUCAUACGGGCUGCUCCCGAACCGCCUUUGAAUAUCUUCCAAAAACUCUGCCCAUGAAUUCAGUUUACCUUCAUCCUCCAUCCAGACCAUCCAAUCUAGAGCCUCGUCCUCCAUAUUCAUUGUUGCUUGCACUAUUCUUUUUUCGCGUUGAACUUUGGUAUUUUUGUGUGAAUAUUUUUUUCUUCGGUUGAUUGUCGCGACCGAAACGGUUAGGCCCCAUCUGAAUAUCUGAAGAUAAUGAAGCACCAUCAUUAAUUAUUUUUGUUAAAUCCAGAUCUGUAGCCCCAAUCUUUGUCAUCAUCUCAUUCAGCCUUGCAAAAGACUUUUUGUUUUCUUCAGCAUCAAAUUCGAUUUUCUUCCUCAAUGUUGCCACAAUUUCCUCUGGCGAUGUCAUUCUGUUAACAAAAUUUUCGAUCUCAAUAAAAAUUAAUCGAAAGCAGUAAGGAUAAGAUUACGUCCUUAUCUAGAUCUAGGUCUAGAGCUAGAUCAACUUUUGGAAGAUUUUUGAAAUAAUUUAAGUCGUUCCCGACUGUGUACUGCUCCUUUUCUUUCCUUUGAUUUUUUUUUUAAAGAAAUUAACGUCGUUCCCGACGAUCUUCUUUUACAGCAGUCCGAUUGAAAGCACCAAAUGUUAAGGCAGCAACCCCCAAAAACGAGCUUGCUGCAGUAACCUGAAAUUGAGUCACGGAGGAGAAGAGAAUUUGCUGUAAGACCGUGUCCUAAGCUUCAUAAGUCAUGCUUAUUGAGAAAAAUAAAAAUGAUACCCUAAAAUUAGGGUUUACAAAGUUUAAAUAGUCUUGGCCAACAGACUGGGCCUAUAAAAAUAAUAACAAGACUUCCCAUUUUAAAAUAAUAUAAUCUUUAAAUUUAAUGGGUUGAACCUUUACCCUUUUGCCACUACCAAUGUCUUCAGAUGUACUUGUUUUGUUUGACUCAAACCGUUCAUCUAACUUUUGCAGGUCACGUUCUUCCUCUUCUCCAUCAGCUUCCCCCGAUGCCUCCUCCCAGAUCUGCUCUUCCUCUCCAGGUAUGUCCAUGGUUGCUUCUUCCUCUCUUCUAUCUUCAUUAUUCAGUAUCUCUUGCAUAUCAUGUAAUACUACUUCCCUUUGACAUGUGUAUCUAUCAGAUUCGUUUAAUUAAACAAACCGAACCGUUCGUCGAACCUCAACCAGAUUCGGUCCGUUUAACAUUUUAUUAUAUUUUAUUAUUUUAUAUUUAUAUUAUAAAUUUAUAUUGUAUAACUUAUAUUAUAUAAUUUUUUAUUAUAUAUUUUAUAACUUAUGUAUAUUUUUGUAAUUUUUCAAUAAUAUAGUAUAUUAAAUUAUUAAUGCUG